UAAUACGUAGGUGGCAAGCGUUGUCCGGAUUUAUUGGGCGUAAAGCGCGCGCAGGCGGCUAUGUAAGUCUGGUGUUAAAGCCCGGGGCUCAACCCCGGUUCGCAUCGGAAACUGCAGAGCUUGAGUGCAGAAGAGGAAAGCGGUAUUCCACGUGUAGCGGUGAAAUGCGUAGAGAUGUGGAGGAACACCAGUGGCGAAGGCGGCUUUCUGGCCUGUAACUGACGCUGAGGCGCGAAAGCGUGGGGAGCAAACAGGAUUAGAUACCCUGGUAGUCCACGCCGUAAACGAUGAGUGCUAGGUGUUGGGGGUUUCAAUACCCUCAGUGCCGCAGCUAACGCAAUAAGCACUCCGCCUGGGGAGUACGCUCGCAAGAGUGAA
rnacentral:rRNA from 1 species